rnacentral:lncRNA from 1 species
AUGGGCACUGGCAGUCAGGUCAAGCUCAUGGAGUAUAAGCCAACCAACCCACCAGUAUGUCUAGGCUCAGCUGUGUGGCUUUUAUCUUGCUGCUUGUCAUCUUGGCCACUUUUGUGUGUCAAGGCUCUUCACGUAAACGUCCACAGAAUAUGUUUCCUAAAUGCAAGUGCAAUGGUAAUCCAAGGGGAUUUCCGAUAUGCCCCAAAGGAUUUAAACCCAAAAUCCUGGCAAAGGAAAUUGCAAACAGAAAUUGCCUCUGUGUGCUAUACUCCCAGGGAUCUGGCAAAAUGCCUCCUUAUCACAAAAUCUGUGGCCGCACAAGCACUCCCCUGUAGUGGAUGGUUUAAUCUCAAACACAAAAUACAAAGUAUGAAAGUAUGAAAACAAGUAUGAAAUGUCUAAAAAAUAUCGUUUGCAGUAGAAUGCAUUUUGAUGUGUGCUUCCUAAUUGCUCUGUAUUGCUUAAUAAAACUGUUUUUGUAUUUAUUCA